UGGACAGAUUAUUGUAUUCGACUGUAUUCACGGCGUGAAACAGGGGAUUACACUGUUUUUAAACGGAAAGUGAAUCAAUUAAAAUAAUAGACUCAU
rnacentral:pre_miRNA from 1 species